CGCUGAAUGAGUCAACAAACGCUUUCUCCAGUGGCUCGCUACCGGAUUCUUCUGCUUGAUGGAAGACACACAGUUAGUUUUAUGGCGAUAGAGAAGAUGGAGACCAAAAGAAGAUGGAGUCUAUGAUUAUCUGGAACAAGAAACCUUUCCACCUUCUACCAUCCUAGUCACGUCCGUUGUGUCCCUGGGAAAGACACUUCACCCUUGCUCCUGAUGGGUCCUGGAUCGCCGGAGCCUGGCCUAGCUGCAUUUGGGUGGAAGGUGGCGUACACCCUGGAAAAGUCACCCCCUCAUCACAGGGCCAACACAGAUAGACAGACAACAUUCACACUCACAUUAUAGAGCGGUAUAGCUCGGUUGGUAGAGUGGCCGUGCCAGCAACUUGAGGGUUGCAGGUUCGAUCCCCGCUUCCGCCAUCCUAGUUACCGCCGUUGUGUCCUUGGGCAAGACACUUUACCCAGGGAUGGGAAUGAAGAUUUACAAAAUCAGCUGAAGAUUUUUUAAUCCUAAAACACUGCUUUGUGGAAGGCAGGCACUCACCUGCUAGGGAGGUCUGGGGGCAUGCCCCCCCAGAAAAAUUUUGAAAUCUAUGUUAGCUUAGGAUGCAUUUCCUGCUAUUUUGAGUCAAAAUCUGUUGUUAAUCUUCACCUUCAGUUUGAUAUAUAUAUCGAGCCAUCAAUCAAUCAAUCAAUGUUUACUUACAUAGCCUUAAAUUACUAGUGUCUCAAAGGGCCAUGCCCAGUUCCACUUGUUUCUCACGCCCUUAUCGAUAUCUUUCGCUAAUGAAGUAAUCCUAUCUUGAAUUAGCUUAAACAUGUCUGAAACUGUUUUGUCAAUAA